ACAGAAUAUACUGGGCAUGAAAUUUUUAUUAUAUGUUUGUAUCAGCAAUGCCUCUGACAAGUUCGUAAAUGAGUGCAGAUCAAGUAUUUUUAUGCCCCCGCCGUAGCGGUGGGGGUAUUAAGUUUUACCAUUGUCCGUCUGUAUGUACGUACAUCCGUACGUCCCAAAAUUGGUUUCCGUUCUCUAACUUGAGUUUGCCUCAACCAAAUGUUAUGAAACUGAUACACAAUGCUUAUUACCACAAAACACAGAUCAAGUUUGAAUUUUGGUGGCAUCACUUUAACCGUUCUAGAGUUAUGCCCUUUUAUAAAUGGAAAAAUUGCAAAAUGUUUAGUUUCCGUUCUCUAACUUAAGUUUGCCUCAACCAAAUGUUAUGAAACUUAUACACAAUCCUUAUUACCACAAAACACAGGUCAGGUAAGAAUUUUGGUGGCGUCACUUUAACCAUUCUAGAGUUAUGCCCCUUUAUAAAUGGAAAAAUUGCAAAAUAUUUAUUUUCUUCUAUAUAUCGAGUAAUUUUUAUACGACCGCAAAAAAAUUUUGUGGUCGUAUAUUGGUAUGACGUUGGCGUCGUCGUCGUCGUCCGAAGACACAUUGGUUUUCGCACUCUAACUUUAGUUUAAGUGAAUGGAUCUUUUUGAAAUUUGACCAUAAGGUUAAAUACCACAAAAGGAAGGUUGGGAUUGAUUUUGGGGGUUAUGGUACCAACAGUUAAGGAAUUAGGGGCCGAAAAGGGGCCAAAAAUAAGCAUUUUCUAGUUUCCAGACAAUAACUGUGGAAUGGUGUAUGGAUCUUUCUGAAAUUAUACUACAAGUUUCCAUACCUCAAAGGGAUGGUUAGGAUUUGCUUUGGGGGGUUAUGGCUCAAACCGUUUAGGAAUUAGGGGCAAAAAAGGGGGAAAAACAAGGUUGUCCUGGUUAAUGGACAAAUACUUUAGUACAAAACAAUUUAAAGCAGUGUAAGGGAGAUAAAUCAAAUACAUCAUUGAAAUUAUCUCCCUUACACUGCUUUUAAAUUAUGUAUAAAGUAAUGGUUAAUGAACAAUAAAGAUAAUUUAAAACAGUGUAAGGGAGGUAAUCCAAAUACAACAUUUUGGUUUCUUCCCUUUCACUGCUUUUAAAUUAUGUUUAAACAAAUGCAUAUUUAUAAAAGUAGACCAGUAAAAAAUCUGCAAAUGUUGCAUCUUUUUUUUUUACAAAAAAAUCCUGAUGAAGAUUUGACACUAUAUUUUUAUACGACCGCAAAAAUUAAAAAUUUUUUGGUCGUAUAUUGGUAUGACGUUGGCGUCGUCCGAAGACACAUUGGUUUUCGCACUCUAACUUUAGUUUAAGUGAAUGGAUCUCCAUGAAAUUUUACCAUAAGGUUCAAUACCACGAAAGGAAGGUUGGGAUUGAUUUUGGGGGUUAUGGUACCAACAGUUAAGGAAUUAGGGGCAAAAAAGGUGCCAAAAAUAAGCAUUUUUGUAACUUCCAGACAAUAACUUGUGUGUAAGUGUAUGGAUCUCUCUGACAUUGUACCACAAGGUUCCAUAUCACAAAGGAAAGGCUGUAAUUGAUUUUGGGGGUAAUUGCCUCAAAAUUUUAGGAAUUAGGGGCCAAAAAAGGGGCAAAAAACAAGCAUUUUUCUAGUUUCAUGACAAUAACUUGUGUGUAAGUGUUUGGAUAUUUCUGAAAUUGUACUACAAGGUUCCAUAUCACAAAGGGAAAGCUGGAAUUGAGUUUGGGGGUAAUUGCCCGAAACGUUUAGGAAUUGGGGGCCAAAAAGGGGCCAAAAAUAAGCAUUUUUCUAGUUUCCAGACAAUAACUUGUGUUCAAGUGUAUGGAUCUCUCUGAAAUUGUACUGCAAGGUACCAUACCACAAAGGGAAGGCUGGGAUUGAGUUUGGGGGUGAUGAAUCGUAAGGGGGUUCAAAAAAUUGGGGGGGGGGAUUUUUUUUUUUUUUUUUUUUUCUUUUUUUCCUUUUUUUUUUCUUUUAAAAUUUUCCAUUUUAAGUUGGUUAUUUCUGAUUAACAUUUAAAAGCAAAUAAUAAUGAUAUGGUAGGAGAUACACACCAAACAGGAUGUGUAAAUUAUUAUCUAAUAAGUAUUGUGCAAUAGCAAGAAAUUUUCAAUUGCACAGUAUUGCACAAUAGCAAGAAAUCUUCAAUUGCACAGUAUUGCGCAAUAGCAAGAAAUCUUCAAUUGCACAGUAUUGCGCAAUAGCAAGAAAUAUCCAAUAGCACAAUAUUGCGCAAUAGCAAGAAAUUGUCAAUUGUACAGUAUUGCGCAAUAGCAAGAAAUAUUCAAUUGCACAGUAUUGUGCAAAAGAAGAUACUUCGUAUAAAUUGCUUAUUUCUUGAUCAAUUUCAAUGGGGUUUUAUUCUUGAAUUCUUGGGGUUCUUUAAUAUGCUGAAUCUAACCGUGUAUUAAGUUUUUGGAUUUUGGGCCCCGUUUUUAAAUUGGUCCACAUUGAGGUCCAGAGGGUCCAAAAUUUAACUUUGUUUGAUUUCAUCAAAAAUUGAAUUAUUGGGGUUCUUUGAUAUGCUGAAUCUAACCGUGUAUUUAGAUUCUUAAUUUUUGGUUCCGUUUUCAAAUUGGUCUACAUUAAGGUCCAAAGGCGUCCAAAAUUAAACUUAGUUUGAUUUUAACAAAAAUUGAAUUUUUAGGGUUCUUUGAUAUGCUGAAUCUAAACAUGUAUUUAGAUUUUUGAUUAUGGGCCCAGUUUUCAAGUUGGUCCAAAUCGGGGUCCAAAAUUAAACUUUGUUUGAUUUCAACAAAAAUUGAAUAUAUGGGGUUCUUUGAUAUGCUGAAUCUAACUGUGUAUUUAGAUUCUUAAUUUUUGGUUCCGUUUUCAAAUUGGUCUACAUUAAGGUCCAAAGGGUCCAAAAUUAAACUUAGUUUGAUUUUAACAAAAAUUGAAUUUUUAGGGUUCUUUGAUAUGCUGAAUCUAAACAUGUAUUUAGAUUUUUGAUUAUGGGCCCAGUUUUCAAGUUGGUCCAAAUCGGGGUCCAAAAUUUAACUUUGUUUGAUUUCAUCAAAAAUUGAAUUCUUGGGGUUCUAUGAUAUGCUGAAUCUAACCAUGUAUUUAGAUUUUGGAUAUUAGACCAUAAUAGGUGAAUGUCCAAUUUAAAAUUUUUAAGUUCUUAGGCCACAUUCAUUCUGUGUCAGAAACCUAUGCUGUGUCAAAUAUUUAAUCACAAUCCAAAUUCAGAGCUAUAUCAAGCUUGAAUGUUGUGUCCAUACUUGCCCCAACUGUUCAGGGUUCGACCUCUGCGGUCGUAUCAAGCUGCGCCCUGCGGAGCAUUUUAUUAAUUCUAUUAUAAAAUAGAUUAAGUUAGCACUAUGGUAAAUUUAAAUGGGUAAUUAUGGUUGCCAACUCCAUUGGAAAUUUGAAUUGAAAUUAUGACCAUAUCUUGAGGGAAAGAAUUUUUUGGGGGAUAAAAAGAAAUUGUGGGGGGUCAAUUUUUUCUCAUUUCAGAUUUCAGAAAUUAAAAAGAAUUAUUCUUCAAAUAUUUUUUUUUUUUCAAAUUUCAAAUAUUGAAAAAUUUCAAGAAGUAAUCUUUAAUUGCACAGUAUGGGUCAUUAGAUUUGUAAAAUCUUUGAUCACAUUUAUUUAUUUGUUAUGCCGAAUCUAUCAGUGUAUUUAGAUUUUUAAUUUUGGGUCCAGUUUUCAAAUUGGUCUACAUUAAGGUCCAAAGGGUCCAAAAUUAAACUUUGUUUGAUUUUAGCAAAAAUUGAAUAUAUGAGGUUCUUUGAUAUGCUGAAUCUAAACAUGUAUUUAGAUUUUUGAUUUUUGGCUUAGUUUUCAAGUUGGUCCAAAUUGGGGUCCAAAAUUAAACUUUGUUUGAUUUCAACAAAAAUUGAAUAUAUGGGGUUCUUUGAUAUGCUGAAUCUAACCAUGUAUUUAGAUUUUUUAUUUGUAGACCCCACUAUCAAAUUGGUUCAUAUUGAGGUCAAAAGGGUCCAAAAUUAAACUUUGUUUGAUUUCAUCUAAAAUUGAAUUAUUGGGGUUCUUUGAUAUUCCAAAUCUAACCGUGUAUUUAGAUUUUUAAUUUUGGGUCCUGUUUUUUUAAAUUGGUCUACAUUAAGGUCCAAAGGGUCCAAAAUUAAACUUAGUUUGAUUUUAACAAAAAUUGAAUUCUUGGGGUUCUUUGAUAUGCUGAUUCUAAACAUGUGUUUAGAUUUUUGAUUAUGGGCCCAGUUUUCAAGUUGGUCCAAGAUAGGGUCCAGUAUUUAAACUUUGUUUGAUUUCAACAAAAAUUGAAUAUAUGGGGUUCUUUGAUAUGCUGAAUCUAAACAUGUAUUUAGAUUUUUGAUUAUGGGCCCAGUUUUCAAGUUGGUCCAAAUUGGGGUCCAAAAUUAAACUUUGUUUGAUUUCAACAAAAAUUGAAUAUAUGAGGUUCUUUGAUAUGCUGAAUCUAACCAUGUAUUUAGAUUUUUUAUUUGUAGGCCCCGCUAUCAAAUUGGUUCAUAUUGAGGUCAAAAGGGUCCAAAAUUAAACUUUGUUUGAUUUCAUCAAAAAUUGAAUUAUUGGGGUUCUUUGAUAUUCCAAAUCUAACCGUGUAUUUAGAUUUUUAAUUUUAAGUCCCGUUUUUUAAAUUGCCCGCUAUCAAAUUGGUUCAUAUUGAGGUCAAAAGGGUCCAAAAUUAAACUUAGUUUGAUUUUAGCAAAAAUUGAAUUCUUGGGGUUAUUUGAUAUGCUGAAUCUAAACAUGUGUUUAGAUUUUUGAUUAUGGGCCCAGUUUUCAAGUUUGUCCAAGUUGGGGUCCAAAAUUAAACUUUGUUUGAUUUUAACAAAAAUUGAAUAUAUGGGGUUCUUUGAUAUGCUGAAUCUAACCAUGUAUUUUGAUUUUGGACAUUGGACCAUAAUAGGUAAAUUAAAAAAAUUCAAGUUCUUAGACCACAUUCUUUCUGUGUCAGAAACCUAUGCUGUGUCAAAUAUUUAAUAACAAUCCAAAUUCAGAGCUGUAUCAAGCUUGAAUGUUGUGUUCAUACUUGCCCCAACUGUUCAGGGUUCGACCUCUGCGGUCGUAUCAAGCUGCGCCCCAGCGAAGCAUUUUAUUCUCUUUGUUUUUUUAUUUAUUUAUUACUUUCUCUUCUCUUUUUUCUUUCUUUAGGAAAUAAAAUUCUCUCUUUAUUGAACAAUAUGGAAAUAAUGGAUACAUAAUAAUAUAGUGUAUAUAUUUUAUAAUUUAGAAUACUAACAAUUACUAACUAUUUUCUAUCUAAAUAUACAAUCUAAUGUUUAACGAGGCCGGGAUAAGGUACCGGUACUUUCUGUAUCCAACUAAAAAAUGUGAAAGUUUUCAAUAAAGUAUGUAAAGUCUGAAAAAAAAAAAUAAAAAAAUUACAGGGCCAAUAUUAAACCAAAUUUGGCCUCACUCAUUAUUAGGUAUCUGUUAUGAUUUUGAUAUAUUUUUACAUGAUUUCCAAAACUGAAGUAGAAUCAGGUGAGCGACACAGGCUCUUGAGAGCCUCUAGUUAUAUAGAUUAGACCGUUGGUUUUCCUGUUUGAAUUGUUUUACACUUGUCAUUUUGGGGCCCUUUAUAGCUUGCUGUUCGGUGUAAGCCAAGGCUCCGUGUUGAAGGCCGUACUUUGACCUAUAGUUGUUAACUUUUUAUACAUUGUGGCUUGGAUGGAGAGUUGUUUCAUUGGCACUCAUACCACAUCUUCUUAUUUAUAUUGACAAGGCCAUGGCUAAAAAAUAAAAAGAUAAACAGACAAACAACAGUACAGAAAACUAAAGACUGAGCAGCACGAACCCACCAAAAAUUGCCUAUUGGCUGCUUAUAGGAAAUGUAAUAUAAACCAAGAAAAGGACCUUCUUUUGUGAAGUGGACAACUCAGGGCUUGUGUUAUUGGAUCUUCACUGUUUUAGACAUUAUUUUGAAUUUCUUAGUUAAUCAAUUGUACUUGAUUUUGUAUGAUUUUUAAUAAUACCAUUGUUAUUAUACAGAAAUGUUGAAGAAAAUGAUUAUU